rnacentral:lncRNA from 1 species
CGCAUGGCCGAAGUCCGAAGCGUGCUGGUUGUACGUGAUCUCCGAAUGUAUUUUCAAUUCUAAACUACCUGACUGAAAGAAGUUUGAAUCUUUUGUUGGAUUGGUGGAGUACAUGUGGUGAAUCCAGAACAGAAAAUGAAGAUUGCCUUGAUGGGGAUUCACACCAUUUAUAGAUUCCCUGAUUGAAAGAAGUUUCGAAUAUUUGUGUUGGAGUUGUGGAGUACCUGUGGUGAAAACUUGCAAAUCCUAUUUUAGGAUUUUAUUCUUUUACAUUACUUACGUGAUUUGGUUUAAAAACUGCAAUCCUUCUGUAUACCGAAUUUUAAUCAAUCAUAAUCGAAAGACUCGGGGGAAGGAGGUGAUAAACCAUGUACCUUAAAAUUAGUUUGGUUUAUACUUAUCAUAAAGAAUGAAAAUAAAUAAAAUUGUAAAAGUAUGCAAA